GGGUUGUGAGGUUAAGCGACUAAGCGUACACGGUGGAUGCCCUGGCAGUCAGAGGCGAUGAAGGGCGUGCUAAUCUGCGAUAAGCGCCGGUAAGGUGAUAUGAACCGUUAUAACCGGCGAUACCCGAAUGGGGAAACCCAGUGUGAUUCGUCACACUAUCAUUAACUGAAUCCAUAGGUUAAUGAGGCGAACCGGGGGAACUGAAACAUCUAAGUACCCCGAGGAAAAGAAAUCAACCGAGAUUCCCCCAGUAGCGGCGAGCGAACGGGGAGGAGCCCAGAGCCUGAAUCAGCAUGUGUGUUAGUGGAAGCGUCUGGAAAGGCGCGCGAUACAGGGUGACAGCCCCGUACACAAAAGCGCAUGUGCUGUGAGCUCGAUGAGUAGGGCGGGACACGUGGUAUCCUGUCUGAAUAUGGGGGGACCAUCCUCCAAGGCUAAAUACUCCUGACUGACCGAUAGUGAACCAGUACCGUGAGGGAAAGGCGAAAAGAACCCCGGCGAGGGGAGUGAAAAAGAACCUGAAACCGUGUACGUACAAGCAGUGGGAGCACAGGUUUACCUGUGUGACUGCGUACCUUUUGUAUAAUGGGUCAGCGACUUAUAUUCUGUAGCAAGGUUAACCGAAUAGGGGAGCCGGAGGGAAACCGAGUCUUAAUUGGGCGUUAAGUUGCAGGGUAUAGACCCGAAACCCGGUGAUCUAGCCAUGGGCAGGUUGAAGGUUGGGUAACACUAACUGGAGGACCGAACCGACUAAUGUUGAAAAAUUAGCGGAUGACCUGUGGCUGGGGGUGAAAGGCCAAUCAAACCGGGAGAUAGCUGGUUCUCCCCGAAAGCUAUUUAGGUAGCGCCUCGUGAAUUCAUCUCCGGGGGUAGAGCACUGUUUCGGCUAGGGGGCCAUCCCGGCUUACCAACCCGAUGCAAACUGCGAAUACCGGAGAAUGUUAUCACGGGAGACACACGGCGGGUGCUAACGUCCGUCGUGAAGAGGGAAACAACCCAGACCGCCAGCUAAGGUCCCAAAGUCAUGGUUAAGUGGGAAACGAUGUGGGAAGGCCCAGACAGCCAGGAUGUUGGCUUAGAAGCAGCCAUCAUUUAAAGAAAGCGUAAUAGCUCACUGGUCGAGUCGGCCUGCGCGGAAGAUGUAACGGGGCUAAACCAUGCACCGAAGCUGCGGCAGCGAACGUAUCACCCAAGACAACUUUACGGAGUUGACGAUUGACGGAGCGAAGCGACGUCAAAGCGUUCAUUAAAGUCGAGUUGGCUUAGGGAUACGUUCGUUGGGUAGGGGAGCGUUCUGUAAGCCUGUGAAGGUGUGUCGUGAGGCAUGCUGGAGGUAUCAGAAGUGCGAAUGCUGACAUAAGUAACGAUAAAGCGGGUGAAAAGCCCGCUCGCCGGAAGACCAAGGGUUCCUGUCCAACGUUAAUCGGGGCAGGGUGAGUCGACCCCUAAGGCGAGGCCGAAAGGCGUAGUCGAUGGGAAACGGGUUAAUAUUCCCGUACUUGGUGUUACUGCGAAGGGGGGACGGAGAAGGCUAUGUUGGCCGGGCGACGGUUGUCCCGGUUUAAGCGUGUAGGGGUGUGUUCCAGGUAAAUCCGGUUCACUUUAACACUGAGGCGUGACGACGAGGCACUACGGUGCUGAAGCAACAAAUGCCCUGCUUCCAGGAAAAGCCUCUAAGCAUCAGGUAACAUCAAAUCGUACCCCAAACCGACACAGGUGGUCAGGUAGAGAAUACCAAGGCGCUUGAGAGAACUCGGGUGAAGGAACUAGGCAAAAUGGUGCCGUAACUUCGGGAGAAGGCACGCUGACACGUAGGUGAAGUGAUUUACUCAUGGAGCUGAAGUCAGUCGAAGAUACCAGCUGGCUGCAACUGUUUAUUAAAAACACAGCACUGUGCAAACACGAAAGUGGACGUAUACGGUGUGACGCCUGCCCGGUGCCGGAAGGUUAAUUGAUGGGGUCAGCGCAAGCGAAGCUCCUGAUCGAAGCCCCGGUAAACGGCGGCCGUAACUAUAACGGUCCUAAGGUAGCGAAAUUCCUUGUCGGGUAAGUUCCGACCUGCACGAAUGGCGUAAUGAUGGCCAGGCUGUCUCCACCCGAGACUCAGUGAAAUUGAACUCGCUGUGAAGAUGCAGUGUACCCGCGGCAAGACGGAAAGACCCCGUGAACCUUUACUAUAGCUUGACACUGAACAUUGAGCCUUGAUGUGUAGGAUAGGUGGGAGGCUUUGAAGUGUGGACGCCAGUCUGCAUGGAGCCGACUUGAAAUACCACCCUUUAAUGUUUGAUGUUCUAACGUGGACCCGUAAUCCGGGUUGCGGACAGUGUCUGGUGGGUAGUUUGACUGGGGCGGUCUCCUCCUAAAGAGUAACGGAGGAGCACGAAGGUUGGCUAAUCUGGUUGGUCGGACAUCAGGAGGUUAGUGCAAUGGCAUAAGCCAGCUUGACUGCGAGCGUGACGGCGCGAGCAGGUGCGAAAGCAGGUCAUAGUGAUCCGGUGGCUCUGAAUGGAAGGGCCAUCGCUCAACGGAUAAAAGGUACUCCGGGGAUAACAGGCUGAUACCGCCCAAGAGUUCAUAUCGACGGCGGUGUUUGGCACCUCGAUGUCGGCUCAUCACAUCCUGGGGCUGAAGUAGGUCCCAAGGGUAUGGCUGUUCGCCAUUUAAAGUGGUACGCGAGCUGGGUUUAGAACGUCGUGAGACAGUUCGGUCCCUAUCUGCCGUGGGCGCUGGAGAACUGAGGGGGGCUGCUCCUAGUACGAGAGGACCGGAGUGGACGCAUCACUGGUGUUCGGGUUGUCAUGCCAAUGGCACUGCCCGGUAGCUAAAUGCGGAAGAGAUAAGUGCUGAAAGCAUCUAAGCACGAAACUUGCCCCGAGAUGAGUUCUCCCUGAGACUUAGAGUCUCCUGAAGGAACGUUGAAGACGACGACGUUGAUAGGCCGGGUGUGUAAGCGCAGCGAUGCGUUGAGCUAACCGGUACUAAUGAACCGUGAGGCUUAACCUUACAACGCCGAAG
rnacentral:rRNA from 1 species